rnacentral:rRNA from 1 species
AUUGAACGCUGGCGGCAGGCCUAACACAUGCAAGUCGAACGAGUGGCGGACGGGUGAGUAAUGUCUGGGAAACUGCCUGAUGGAGGGGGAUAACUACUGGAAACGGUAGCUAAUACCGCAUACCAUCAGAUGUGCCCACAUGGGAUUAGCUUGUUGGUGGGGUAACGGCUCACCAAGGCGACGAUCCCUAGCUGGUCUGAGAGGCGGACCAGACACACGGGACCUGCGACACGGUCCAGAUUCCACCGGAAGGCAGCAGGGGGGAAGAUUUGCCAAUGAGCGCAAGCCUGAUGCAGCCAUGCCGCGUGUAUGAAGAGGGCCUUCGGGUUGUAAAGUACGUUCAGCGGGGAGGCGUUACCCGCAGAAGAAGCACCGGCUAACUCCGUGCCAGCAGCCGCGGUAAUAC